GACGAACGCUGGCGGCGUGCCUAACACAUGCAAGUCGAGCGGAAAGGCCCUUCGGGUACUCGAGCGGCGAACGGGUGAGUAACACGUGAGCAACCUACCCUUGACUUUGGGAUAACCCCGGGAAACCGGGGCUAAUACCGGGUAUGACAUUUCACGGCAUCGUGGGGUGUGGAAAGUUUUUGCGGUCAGGGAUGGGCUCGCGGCCUAUCAGCUUGUUGGUGGGGUGAUGGCCCUACCAAGGCGACGACGGGGUAGCCGGCCUGAGAGGGCGACCGGCCACACUGGGACUGAGACACGGCCCAGACUCCUACGGGAGGCAGCAGUGGGGAAUAUUGCACAAUGGGCGAAGCCUGAUGCAGCGACGCCGCGUGAGGGAUGAAGGCCUUCGGUUGUAACCU
rnacentral:rRNA from 1 species